rnacentral:rRNA from 1 species
UUGGAGAGUUUGAUCCUGGCUCAGGACGAACGCUGGCGGCGUGCCUAAUACAUGCAAGUCGAGCGGAGUCACUUUGAAAGCUUGCUUUCAAAGUGACUUAGCGGCGGACGGGUGAGUAACACGUAGGCAACCUGCCCCUUAGACUGGGAUAACUACCGGAAACGGUAGCUAAUACCGGAUAAUUUCUUUUUUCUCCUGAAGGAAGAAUGAAAGACGGAGCAAUCUGUCACUGAGGGAUGGGCCUGCGGCGCAUUAGCUAGUUGGUGGGGUAACGGCCCACCAAGGCGACGAUGCGUAGCCGACCUGAGAGGGUGAACGGCCACACUGGGACUGAGACACGGCCCAGACUCCUACGGGAGGCAGCAGUAGGGAAUCUUCCGCAAUGGACGAAAGUCUGACGGAGCAACGCCGCGUGAGUGAUGAAGGUUUUCGGAUCGUAAAGCUCUGUUGCCAGGGNAAGAA